rnacentral:lncRNA from 1 species
CCCUGGAGGGUCACCCAAGGAAAGAGUUCGUUCCAAAGACAGGUGCUCCUCUGAGUUCCUCUGGAAUCUGGCAAGGUGCCGAGCUUGGACGCAAGGCUUCCAUGAGGCUGUGAAGGAGGUUGCACGGAAACUGGUGGGGAUCUGAAAAGCUUUUAGUGGCCUCGCCACACACAGCACUUCAGAUGCUCAGGUGAUGAGCAACAUUUUCCAAACCCAGCUAGUGAGCACCCCACCUCCUCUGGCUUCCAGAACCUGGUGUGGAGGGCCAGGAGAGGCUUCGGGACUGAAGGGCAGAGCAGCAGACUCCGGGGCUCAUGUAGGAAGGAACAUGCCUUCAGCCAAAGAUUAUCCACGCUGCAUGGAGACUCUUGCUAAAUAUCACUGGGGUAAGACUGAAGAAAAGAAAUAAACUAUGCUACCUGCUCUUAAUAAAGAUCAUUUUAUUUUAAACAGGAGGCUGAAUAAAACCUUUUGACUCUGUAUUUCAGACAAAUGCAGUGGCUUAAUUUCAUUCAAUCAUUUACUGAGGAUCUGAAAUGCAUGCGGUUAGUGGUGAGAAUACUGACUCAGGGCUGUCCCUUCCUCUGGAGUUGACAGCCGACUGCGCAGGAAGGGAAGGUGAGGGUCAAACACACAGGUCAACAUCAGAAACAGCACUUCCGCCUUCCAUUGGCCCCG